AUUGAACGCUGGCGGCAGGCCUAACACAUGCAAGUCGAGCGGAUGAAGGGAGCUUGCUCCUGGAUUCAGCGGCGGACGGGUGAGUAAUGCCUAGGAAUCUGCCUGGUAGUGGGGGAUAACGUCCGGAAACGGGCGCUAAUAUCGCAUACGUCCUGAGGGAGAAAGUGGGGGAUCUUCGGACCUCACGCUAUCAGAUGAGCCUAGGUCGGAUUAGCUAGUUGGUGGGGUAAAGGCCUACCAAGGCGACGAUCCGUAACUGGUCUGAGUGGAUGAUCAGUCACACUGGAACUGAGACACGGUCCAGACUCCUACGGGAGGCAGCAGUGGGGAAUAUUGGACAAUGGGCGAAAGCCUGAUCCAGCCAUGCCGCGUGUGUGAAGAAGGUCUUCGGAUUGUAAAGCACUUUAAGUUGGGAGGAAGGGCAGUAAGUUAAUACCUUGCUGUUUUGACGUUACCAACAGAAUAAGCACCGGCUAACUUCGUG
rnacentral:rRNA from 1 species